rnacentral:ncRNA from 1 species
UUGAGCCGAAUAGUGGUGAAAACCACACGUUCGGUUCUUAGGAGAGGAAGGGAGAGCAAUCUCUCUGACUUAUCCGAC